rnacentral:piRNA from 1 species
UGAGAGCUUUGAGAUGUGGUCCCCGCUC